rnacentral:miRNA from 1 species
GAGGUGGAAGGAUCACUUGAGUUCAGGAGGUUGAGGCUGCAAUGAGCCAUAAUCAUACCACUGCACUCCAGCCUGAGUGACAGAGCAAGACCCUGUCUCA